rnacentral:rRNA from 1 species
AACGAACGCUGGCGGCAUGCCUAACACAUGCAAGUCGAGGGGUAUUGGUUUUCGGACCAAGAGACCGGCGCACGGGUGCGUAACGCGUAUGCAAUCUACCUUUUGCAGAGGGAUAGCCCAGAGAAAUUUGGAUUAAUACCUCAUAGUAUAGUACUUUGGCAUCAAGGAACUAUUAAAGUCACAACGGCAAAAGAUGAGCAUGCGUCCAUUAGCUAGUUGGUAAGGUAACGGCUUACCAAGGCUACGAUGGGUAGGGGUCCUGAGAGGGAGAUCCCCCACACUGGUACUGAGACACGGACCAGACUCCUACGGGAGGCAGCAGUGAGGAAUAUUGGACAAUGGGCGGCAAGCCUGAUCCAGCCAUGCCGCGUGCAGGAUGACGGUCCUAUGGAUUGUAAACUGCUUUUAUACAGGAAGAAACACUCCGACGUGUCGGAGCUUGACGGUACUGUAAGAAUAAGGAUCGGGCUAACUCCGUGCCAGCAGCCG